AUGGUAAAGCAAAAUGGAGAAAGAAUUGAACCUGGUUCAACCAAAUCAUCCAAAUUCGGCUGUAAUAAUUAUAUAAACUUGACAUUUCCAAGGAAGAGAAUACCAAAAGUGGAAGAAAAUGAAACCAGUAAAAGGCGCCGCAAAAGUCUCGUCAGUUUUGAAGAGG